UGUUAAAAAAUAAAUGGCAAAAGGCAAUUGCAAUAAAAAAAAAAGUAAAAGGCCUGAUUUUUCAGAACUGAAACUUACAUAAAGCACCUAAAAAGGCUAAAAAUGUAUAACAUAGUGUUGAUUAUCGCAAAAAAAAAACAUAAAACAAUCAACUCAUUUCUUAUUCUCAUAAAAAGUCACUAGAGAUAACAGCGAGGCACUGGCAAUGGCAACAAAUGAGGUCAAUUUGUUUGUAUUAUGAAGCUUAUAAUUAAAUAAAGUCUUAAAAAUCUGUACCUGGUAAAACUUGUGUGUAAUUGGAGCUAAGUUGUGUUGGUUUUGGGGUUGCGUUGCCAUAGCAAAGUUGUACAGGGUAUAAUUUUACACCGAAAUUAUUAGUAAGUCAUUUUUCCACAUUCGGAUCACUUCAGCGCUCGUACUGUUUGCGACUUGUGGCUAUCCUUGAACAUUUUACGGAUUCGCUUCCAUCACAACCCAGACAUUUUGCUAAAGACAAUGAGGGACUAGUGGAACUUUAGUUUUUUUUGGUGUUCAAGCCUCUAGCGCUGACAGCACUGAACCUGGAAUAGCUCUUUAAGGAAUAAAGCCGUGAGCCAUAUUCAGCGUGCAGGAAGUCCUGUGAGGGUUUCGCGUUAUCCACGUGAUUUCAGGGUUCAAGGUGUGCUCUGAAGUUAAGAUCGUGGAAAUUGCAUUUCUGCUUCAAGUAGCAUAAAGGGAAUUGCGCAACUCCCGCUCAGCGCAGACGUGCGCAGCGUCAUGGAAACGCAUCUGGCUUUUCUUCUGCCCCUGCAAGUUGCUGUCUAAGCCUGUCGAGGAUUCGCCUGCCAAGAACGCAACGAGGUCGGAUCCCAAGCAAGGAGCGUGUGCGGAAGGAACACAUGUGGCCCGAAAAUAUGAGAGUCGAGAGCGAGAGAUUGCUCAAAUCACAGACGCUCGCUGCCAAAUGGCUUGCAUCUGUGGAGAAGUAUUCUCGACCCUGACUGGAGGGAGGGUGUUUCCAUUUCCAGUGUUACGAUCCCAUGAAAACUUCCUGUAAAACACGCCUGUUUUAGGAAAUACGAACUGGGUUGCAUUGAGUGGGAUUUUGUGUGGAGUGUCCCGUUUGUAUGUCGCUGUGCUAAAGUUGAAACUCACACGUCCUGUUGUUGUAGUUGUAUGCUACGAUAUCUAUAAGGCUUUUUUUUACGUAAGCGCACCGCGCCCUGCCAUGGCCGGAGGGUAAAAGUAAGAGUUAGGAUUAGGGGUGGGAUUUCUCCCUCGUCUCUCCCUCAUCUCUCCCUACUGUGUUUGUGCUUUUGCGUCAUUAGCAAGCGGGCAAGCUUCUCCCCGGGGCUGCUGGGACGAGCGCUGCUGGAGUAAGGAAUGUACCAAAAGCAGAGAGCAUGUCUAUAAAAGGAAGAAUAAACAUCUGCAUACAUCCCCACUGAGUGCUGUUUGGAGGCUACCGUCUCAUCAUUCAGUGCUUUCGUCAGCAGGGGGAGAGGACGGCUGCUUCUGAAACACAUGUGGGAUGUGGAGCUGUGACAGGAUCACAAAGAGUGCCAUUCAGCCCAGAGAGGCUCUGAAAACAGCAGCAGUCUCCCUUUGCUCUCCACCCUUUUGCUGCCUCCAUCUGUGGCCUUAUUUCCUCUAACUUCAGCGCCUCUCCCUUCGCAAAACACAUAAAACCUCAAAGAUUACAGAACCAGACUUUGUUACCCGAGAGAGAAAGGCCUUGAGAUCCAAAGGCUUUGUUGAGUUGUUUUGGUCUAAAGCACUUUUCACAAAUGCACAACAAAGGAACAAAUCCUGUCUUUUUGUAGUGAGAGCUUUUAAGUCUGCUUGAUUAUGCCCUAUUAUAUAAUAUCAAAUGAAGUUGUUGUGAAAAGUAAGUUUGGCUGGUGCUACGCCAGGACUCUUGAUUUCUCAAUGCCAUACUGCAAUUUAAAUCAUAUAACAAUGUCAACAAUUAACUGUAGUAAUGAUAACUGAUCUGUAUA